rnacentral:rRNA from 1 species
AUUGAACGCUGGCGGCAUGCUUUACACAUGCAAGUCGAACGGCAGGCACAGGGAGCUUGCUCCCGGGUGGCGAGUGGCGCACGGGUGAGUAAUACAUCGGAACGUGUCCUGUUGUGGGGGAUAACUGCUCGAAAGGGUGGCUAAUACCGCAUGAGACCUGAGGGUGAAAGCGGGGGAUCGCAAGACCUCGCGCAAUUGGAGCGGCCGAUGCCCGAUUAGCUAGUUGGUGAGGUAAAGGCUCACCAAGGCGACGAUCGGCAGCUGGUCUGAGAGGACGACCAGCCACACUGGGACUGAGACACGGCCCAGACUCCUACGGGAGGCAGCAGUGGGGAAUUUUGGACAAUGGGGGCAACCCUGAUCCAGCCAUGCCGCGUGCAGGAUGAAGGCCUUCGGGUUGUAAACUGCUUUUGUCAGGGACGAAAAGGACCGUGUUAAUACCAUGGUCUGCUGACGGUACCUGAAGAAUAAGCACCGGCUAACUACGUG